rnacentral:rRNA from 1 species
UACGUAGGGUGCGAGCGUUGUCCGGAUUCAUUGGGCGUAAAGAGCGUGUAGGCGGCCAGGUAGGUCGGUUGUGAAAACUGGAGGCUCAACCUUCAGAGGUCGACCGAAACCAUCUGGCUAGAGUCCGGGAGAGGAGAGUGGAAUUCCUGGUGUAGCGGUGAAAUGCGCAGAUAUCAGGAAGAACACCCGUGGCUAAGGCGGCUCUCUAGUACGGUACUGACGCUGAGACGCGAAAGCGUGGGGAGCGAACAGG